rnacentral:rRNA from 1 species
GAGUUUGAUCUUGGCUCAGAUUGAACGCUGGCGGCAGGCCUAACACAUGCAAGUCGAGCGGAUGACGGGAGCUUGCUCCUUGAUUCAGCGGCGGACGGGUGAGUAAUGCCUGGGAAUCUGCCUGGUAGUGGGGGACAACGUUUCGAAAGGAACGCUAAUACCGCAUACGUCCUACGGGAGAAAGCAGGGGACCUUCGGGCCUUGCGCUAUCAGAUGAGCCUAGGUCGGAUUAGCUAGUUGGUGGGGUAAUGGCUCACCAAGGCGACGAUCCGUAACUGGUCUGAGAGGAUGAUCAGUCACACUGGAACUGAGACACGGUCCAGACUCCUACGGGAGGCAGCAGUGGGGAAUAUUGGACAAUGGGCGAAAGCCUGAUCCAGCCAUGCCGCGUGUGUGAAGAAGGUCUUCGGAUUGUAAAGCACUUUAAGUUGGGAGGAAGGGCAGUAAGUUAAUACCUUGCUGUUUUGACGUUACCGACAGAAUAAGCACCGGCUAAACUCUGUGCCAGCCGCCGACCG